GCCCCAUGAAACAGAGAUAAACACAUAUAGAAAUAAGAUGUAAGACUACAACAUGACAACAAACUAGGAGAGAAAAAUCUCUAAAACUAACCAGUUAAGACAGUGCAACCUGAUAUUAACCUAAAAUGAUCAUUUUUCUACAGGCAAGCAAGCAUCAGUAGUGUGACGUGUGGAAGAAGAAAAAACAACCCUAACUUCAAAACACAUACAAAACAACAUAAAAUGAAAUGUACAGUACAAACAUAGCCAAAAGAUGGCGUUUUCUAGAUAUUCCAGCUUGAAAUAAACAGCAUGACUGAUUGUCAAGCUUAGUCCUCUUAAAUCAUAAUUUACAUAAGCAUUCUUAAAUAUGAAUGUAAGACUGUGAAAUAGUGUCCAAACUCCUGUAACACACUGCCACCAAAGCUCGUUUUAUUUUGAGGUCUGCGGCGCGUAAAUUAAUACAUGUAAUUUAUUCGUUAUAACAGAUGUGCUGUAGAUCAUACACGAUGGGAGCUGUAUCAGAUCUCUCCUGGUAAUGCUUUUUAAAUUGGGUCACGCUCUACUUUGGAACCAUCGAGUCCCUGCAUUCACAAACUGUACUCCUCAGAGGAAGAAAAGGGGACGGGGGGCCACGAAGGUGUCGACAGUGCCAAGGACAUAGGAGACGUACUCGAACAGCAGUUAAGAUGCCGCGGUACAAACAGAGGGAUUGCAUAGUUCGGCAGCAUUGUCUUUCGCAGGUUUUCCUACCGAGCCUCCUAGUUUCCUUUUUAAAAGUACCUGCACAGCCAUAAAACCUCGCCCCCCCCCCUCUGUGUCACUCCAGUGGCUUGUUAGAAUAAGGAGCAAGAUGAGAGGUCUAUUUUUACAAACGAGGGGGUGAGGAAAAGUGAGACGGAAGGUGAGAUUUUAUGAGACAGAGGCAGGAGCUGAGUUUGUGUUGUGUUCACUGUGAGCACAUUCUCGAUCAAAAUGCGCCGCGUUAUGAAAGUUUCUCAGUGCCUUUUUGGUUUCGAGGGACGACCUUCGCUUAAAGUCAAGAUAUUUAAAGAAAGGAGGAAAAGAAACAUUGAACACAAAUUCAGUAUUGCUAAUCUAUUAUUAUCUUCAAGUCUUUCUACUCGUUUAUAAAGAAAUUACGCUAUCCACUACAUUAUAUGAGUCGGUAGAACUUUCUGUCAUUUCUGGAAUGAAACUAAUAUCCUGAAGCAGGCAUGGCGGGGGUCAAGCACUGGCCCACGGAAGGAGGAAAGACACGAUAAAAACAAUGAGAGAAACAGAGAGAGGUAAUGACAGGAGGAGGAUAAGAGGAAGAGAGAAGGACGACGGCCACAGAGACGUCAGUUUGGAGCCUCGGGUCACCUCAUCAGGACUCUUCUGCUUCUCCACGUUUGGCCUGCAAAUGAUCAGUGGCCUGACCUGUGAUAUGCUCUC
ensembl:lncRNA